UGGGGAAUAUUGCACAAUGGGGGAAACCCUGAUGCAGCGACGCCGCGUGGAGGAAGAAGGUCUUCGGAUUGUAAACUCCUGUUGUUGAGGAAGAUAAUGACGGUACUCAACAAGGAAGUGACGGCUAACUACGUGCCAGCAGCCGCGGUAAAACGUAGGUCACAAGCGUUGUCCGGAAUUACUGGGUGUAAAGGGAGCGCAGGCGGGAAGACAAGUUGGAAGUGAAAUCUAUGGGCUCAACCCAUAAACUGCUUUCAAAACUGUUUUUCUUGAGUAGUGCAGAGGUAGGCGGAAUUCCCGGUGUAGCGGUGGAAUGCGUAGAUAUCGGGAGGAACACCAGUGGCGAAGGCGGCCUACUGGGCACCAACUGACGCUGAGGCUCGAAAGUGUGGGUAGCAAACAGGAUUAGAUACCCAAGU
rnacentral:rRNA from 1 species